UGGACAGGACCUGGCUGCUCUGGCCUCUGCCUUUGUGGGGUCAGGGCUGGGGGUCCUCCAGACCCACAUGUGGGGGGCAGCCCCCCCCAAGCUCGCCCCAUGCGGCCCCUUGGCCCCCCCCGUGUGCCGGCGCCUGAGGCACCUCCAGCAGGGCCUGGAGGCCACGACCCUGCUGGGUGACCUGGCCAUGGAGGGGGGGGGGCGACCGGCACCAUGCGAUGGAAUCCCAUGUGGCUGCCCUACAGAAGCGCUUCAAGGGGUCCCUGCAGGACUG